UUUCCGUAGGUGAACCUGCGGAAGGAUCAUUAACGAGUUUUGAAAGGGGUUGUAGCUGGCCUUUACCGAGGCAUGUGCACACCCUGCUCUUCCACUCUCAACCUCUGUGAACUAUUGUAGGCUCGGUGAAAGGCAUUGCCUACUCGUGAGGGUAACAGUGCUGGAAGCCUUGUCUAUGUUUCUACUACAAACGCUUUAGUUAUAGAAUGUCACACUUGCGGAUAACGCAUUUAUAUACAACUUUCAGCAACGGAUCUCUUGGCUCUCGCAUCGAUGAAGAACGCAGC
rnacentral:misc_RNA from 1 species